rnacentral:tRNA from 1 species
AACAGUGUAGCUCAAUGGCAGAGCGCGUGCUUAGCGUGCGUGGGGUUCUGGGUUCAAUCCCCGGUACCUCUA